rnacentral:rRNA from 1 species
CGAGCGGCGGACGGGUGAGUAAUGUCUAGGGAAACUGCCUGAUGGAGGGGGAUAACUACUGGAAACGGUAGCUAAUACCGCAUAACGUCGCAAGACAAAGAGGGGGACCUUCGGGCCUCUUGCCAUCAGAUGUGCCCAGAUGGGAUUAGCUAGUAGGUGGGGUAACGGCUCACCUAGGCGACGAUCCCUAGCUGGUCUGAGGGGAUGACCAGCACACUGGGACUGAGACACGGCCAGACUCCUACGGGAGGCAGCAGUGGGGAAUUUUGGACAAUGGGCGAAAGCCUGAUCCAGCAAUGCCGCGUGCAGGAUGAAGGCCUUCGGGUUGUAAACUGCUUUUGUACGGAACGAAAAAGCUUCUCCUAAUACGAGAGGCCCAUGACGGUACCGUAAGAAUAAGCACCGGUAACUACGGUGCCAGCAGCCGCGGUAAAUAACGUAGGGUGCGAGCGUAACUCGGGAAUUCACCUGGGCCGUCAAAGCCGUGCGCAAGGCGGUCCAAUGGUAAGAACANGAUGUUGAAAAUCCCCCGGGGCUCAACCUGGGGGGAACACUGGCCAUACGGGGGCUCGGCCCUGGGCCACAAAGUUAACACCGGGG